rnacentral:lncRNA from 1 species
ACUGAGAGAGCUGGCUGUCAUGGAGGGAAGGGAGCUGAAGAAGUGAGAAAUAAGGAGGAGAGACUCCUGAAGAUUGGACAGUCAGAUUUAAUGCUGUAUACCUUGGAGGAGCUCCAUCUUCAGAUUUGAUCAAGUUGGACCCUCAGCUGGACACUUGAUCACUGAUCAGUAUUGAAACCAAGAUUGUGUAGUUUCACAUCUAAAUAUUUGUGGAUGGAUCAGAUCAAACCAUUCACUGUGUUCGAGCUCUCAGUUUGACGCCCUCUGCUGGAUCGGUCUGCCCUGGUCAGUUCCUCAGCUGACCAUGGGGAACUACAACUCUGGACUGUACGCUGAUGUGGAACAUUUUAAAGGCAUUGUGUCUUCCCCAGGAAGAGUGACUUCUGAACAGCACAUGCUGGAGAACACCAGCCUUUAUAAUCAUGUUAGUGGUGCUGAGGAGUCAGUAGUUUGGGAGGAGAAUGUACCUGACCUGGCUGCCCUCAAAUUUCUCCAUACUGUACCAGAACCACGCAGAGGAAAGCCAAUACUUGAAAUUAGGACUCCAGUUUCAGAGCCUGUUGCGAUUGCUGCAUCUCCUGCAGUCUCCUCUGGACCAGCACUAAAGCCCAGACCUCCUCCGUCCGGCCCGGCUACUCUACAGGGGCUCAGAGACGAGAUCCACGACAUGAGAGGAGAACUGGAGCUGCUGAAGAAUCAGCACAAGAGAGAGAUUACACUGAUGAUGAACGAACUGGACGAGGAGAAGAAAAUGCGCCUAUCGCUGCAGUGA